UACAGAGGUCUCAAGCGUUGUUCGGAUUCAUUGGGCGUAAAGGGUGCGCAGGUGGCGCGGCAAGUCGGAUGUGAAAUCCCGGGGCUCAACCCCGGAACUGCAUUCGAUACUGCCGUGCUAGAGUGCUGGAGAGGAGAUUGGAAUUUACGGUGUAGCAGUGAAAUGCGUAGAUAUCGUAAGGAAGACCAGUGGCGAAGGCGAAUCUCUGGACAGUUACUGACACUGAGGCACGAAGGCCAGGGGAGCAAACGGG
rnacentral:rRNA from 1 species